GGACUAUCAUGUCGGUCGUGCCUCGGCACGUACUGGUAUUGUUGGUUUCUCCCUUCUGACGAACCAUGAUGUCAUUUAUUUGGUGUUGUGGGGAAUUAGGACUGUUACUUUGAAAAAAUUAAAGUGUUUAAAGCAGGCUCACGCUUGAAUACAUUAGCAUGGAAUAAUGAAAUAGGACGUUCGAUCCUAUUUUGUUGGUUUCUAGGAUUGACGUA
rnacentral:rRNA from 1 species